rnacentral:rRNA from 1 species
GCUGGGUGGAUUAGUGGCGAACGGGUGAGUAACACGUGAGUAACCUGCCCUUAACUCUGGGAUAAGCCUGGGAAACUAGGUCUAAUACCGGAUAGGAGCGCCUACCGCAUGGUGGGUGUUGGAAAGAUUUAUCGGUUUUGGAUGGACUCGCGGCCUAUCAGCUUGUUGGUGAGGUAAUGGCUCACCAAGGCGACGACGGGUAGCCGGCCUGAGAGGGUGACCGGCCACACUGGGACUGAGACACGGCCCAGACUCCUACGGGAGGCAGCAGUGGGGAAUAUUGCACAAUGGGCGAAAGCCUGAUGCAGCGACGCCGCGUGAGGGAUGACGGCCUUCGGGUUGUAAACCUCUUUCAGUAGGGAAGAAGCGAAAGUGACGGUACCUGCAGAAGAAGCACCGGCUAACUACGUGCCAGCAGCCGCGGUAAUACGUAGGGUGCGAGCGUUAUCCGGAAUUAUUGGGCGUAAAGAGCUCGUAGGCGGUUUGUCGCGUCUGUCGUGAAAGUCCGGGGCUUAACCCCGGAUCUGCGGUGGGUACGGGCAGACUAGAGUGCAGUAGGGGAGACUGGAAUUCCUGGUGUAGCGGUGGAAUGCGCAGAUAUCAGGAGGAACACC